rnacentral:misc_RNA from 1 species
AACGCAUAUUGCGCCCUUUGGUAUUCCGAAGGGCAUGCCUGUUCGAGCGUCAUUAUCAACCCUCAAGCCUGGCUUGUCAUUGAACCUCUGGUCGUUAAAAGACAGGUUCGAAAGAUAAUGACGGUGUCGCGAUCGACCCUAGGUGCAACGAGCUUCACAGCACGCAUGUUAGUGGCCGGCCGGCCCCGGUCUUAACCCUAUUUCAAUGGUUGACCUCGGAUCAGGUAGGAAUACCCGCUGAACUUAA